UAGGGAAUCUUGCGCAAUGGGCGAAAGCCUGACGCAGCAACGCCGCGUGGGGGAUGAAGGCCCUCGGGUUGUAAACUCCUUUCAGUGGGAACGAAAUUGACGGUACCCACAGAAGAAGCCCCGGCUAACUACGUGCCAGCAGCCGCGGUGAUACGUAGGGGGCGAGCGUUGUCCGGAUUCACUGGGCGUAAAGAGCUCGUAGGCGGCUUGAUAAGUCGGGUGUGAAACCCCCAGGCUCAACCUGGGAUCGCCACUCGAUACUGUCAUGGCUAGAGUCCGGUAGGGGACCAUGGAAUUCCUGGUGUAGCGGUGAAAUGCGCAGAUAUCAGGAGGAACACCAGUAGCGAAGGCGGUGGUCUGGGCCGGUACUGACGCUGAGGAGCGAAAGCGUGGGGAGCGAACAGGAUUAGAUACCCCCGUAGUCC
rnacentral:rRNA from 1 species